rnacentral:tRNA from 1 species
GGGCCUGUAGCUCAGUUGGUCAGAGCAAGUGUCUUAUACACACUGGGUCGAAGGUUCGAGUCCUUCCAGGCCCA